GCUGGGCGUGGUGGUGGGGGCCUGUAAUCCCAGCUACUUGGGAGGCUGAGGCAGGAGAAUCGCUUGAACCCAGGAGGCUGAGGCUGCAGUGAGCAGAGAUUGCACCACUGUGCUCCAGCCUGGGCAAUAGAGCGAGACUCUGUUUCAU
rnacentral:SRP_RNA from 1 species